ensembl:ncRNA asRNA:CR45868 antisense RNA:CR45868
ACUGCACAAGUUCUUAGCCGCCAUGGCAUUGAAAUAUUCCUAUGAAAAUGAUGCACUUUUAUGCGAACCGAGAAAAAAACAGAGAGACAGAGACAGAGAAAGAGAGGGAGGGCGAAAGUUCAAUGACCUUUGACUGCGAGUAUCGGUAUCGGUAUCAGACGAAGAAGAGGAGCACCGAGCGGGGUCCAAAGCUUUGGAUUGUUAUGGCUUUAAUGGUAUGGUGUUUAAAAUAUAGAAUGAGCACUUGUGAUUCGCAACAAAAACAAGCUUCGGUGAUCGAAUCGAUCGGAAAGCUCUCCGUAGGCUCUAAAAACAGGUUUAAUGUGGUUCUUGGCAGGAGGAACCUACAUAUGUAUGUAUGUAUGUGUAUAAUACUCACCGAUCGGUAUCGUGGACUGGAAAACGACGCAGAUCAUUGGGCUUUACAUCCUGGCAACCCAUCAGACAAAUCCUGGAGGAAGGUGGCAAUACUGGUUCCGGCCCAUUCGCGCUAGGAUUUAGCGACACAGCCUGGCAAAUCCGAAGAGUGGUUAUCGUAUUCGUCAUCUAUCAAAUAUUAUUUUAAAAUUGGAUAAAAUCACUCAUUUUAAUUU